rnacentral:rRNA from 1 species
AUUGAACGCUGGCGGCAGGCCUAACACAUGCAAGUCGAACGAGUGGCGGACGGGUGAGUAAUGUCUGGGAAACUGCCCGAUGGAGGGGGAUAACUACUGGAAACGGUAGCUAAUACCGCAUACCAUCGGAUGUGCCCAGAUGGGAUUAGCUAGUAGGUGGGGUAACGGCUCACCUAGGCGACGAUCCCUAGCUGGUCUGCGAGGAUGACCAGCCACAUGGGAACUGAGACACGGCCCAGACUCCGACGUGAGGCAGCAGUGGGGAAGAUUGCCGAAUGGGCGGAAGCCUGAUGCAGCCAUGCCGCGUGUAUGAAGAAGGCCUUCGGGUGGUAAAGUACUUUCAGCGAGGAGGCGUUACCCGCAGAAGAAGCACCGGCUAACUCCGUGCCAGCAGCCGCGGUAAUUC